UACGUAGGUGGCAAGCGUUAUCCGGAUUUAUUGGGCGUAAAGCGAGCGCAGGCGGUUGCUUAGGUCUGAUGUGAAAGCCUUCGGCUUAACCGGAGAAGUGCAUCGGAAACCGGGGCGACUUGAGUGCAGAAGAGGACAGUGGAACUCCAUGUGUAGCGGUGGAAUGCGUAGAUAUAUGGAAGAACACCAGUGGCGAAGGCGGCUGUCUGGUCUGCAACUGACGCUGAGGCUCGAAAGCAUGGGUAGCGAACAGG
rnacentral:rRNA from 1 species